AUUGAACGCUGGCGGCAGGCCUAACACAUGCAAGUCGAACGGUAACAGGAAGCAGCUUGCUGCUUCGCUGACGAGUGGCGGACGGGUGAGUAAUGUCUGGGAAACUGCCUGAUGGAGGGGGAUAACUACUGGAAACGGUAGCUAAUACCGCAUAACGUCGCAAGACCAAAGAGGGGGACCUUAGGGCCUCUUGCCAUCGGAUGUGCCCAGAUGGGAUUAGCUAGUAGGUGGGGUAACGGCUCACCUAGGCGACGAUCCCUAGCUGGUAUGAGAGGAUGACCAGCCACACUGGAACUGAGACACGGUCCAGACUCCUACGGGAGGCAGCAGUGGGGAAUAUUGCACAAUGGGCGCAAGCCUGAUGCAGCCAUGCCGCGUGUAUGAAGAAGGCCUUCGGGUUGUAAAGUACUUUCAGCGGGGAGGAAGGGAGUAAAGUUAAUACCUUUGCUCAUUGACGUUACCCGCAGAAGAAGCACCGGCUAACUCCGUG
rnacentral:rRNA from 1 species